rnacentral:rRNA from 1 species
UACGUAGGGGGCAAGCGUUGUCCGGAAUCAUUGGGCGUAAAGCGCGUGUAGGCGGCUCGGUAAGUCUGCUGUGAAAGUCCAGGGCUCAACCCUGGGAUGCCGGUGGAUACUGUCGGGCUAGAGUACGGAAGAGGCGAGUGGAAUUCCCGGUGUAGCGGUGAAAUGCGCAGAUAUCGGGAGGAACACCAAUUGCGAAGGCAGCUCGCUGGGACGUUACUGACGCUGAGACGCGAAAGCGUGGGGAGCAAACAGG